GAUGAACGCUGGCGGCGUGCCUAAUACAUGCAAGUCGAGCGAACGGACGAGAAGCUUGCUUCUCUGAUGUUAGCGGCGGACGGGUGAGUAACACGUGGAUAACCUACCUAUAAGACUGGGAUAACUUCGGGAAACCGGAGCUAAUACCGGAUAAUAUUUUGAACCGCAUGGUUCAAAAGUGAAAGACGGUCUUGCUGUCACUUAUAGAUGGAUCCGCGCUGCAUUAGCUAGUUGGUAAGGUAACGGCUUACCAAGGCAACGAUGCAUAGCCGACCUGAGAGGGUGAUCGGCCACACUGGAACUGAGACACGGUCCAGACUCCUACGGGAGGCAGCAGUAGGGAAUCUUCCGCAAUGGGCGAAAGCCUGACGGAGCGACGCCGCGUGAGUGAUGAAGGUCUUCGGAUCGUAAAGCUCUGUUAUUAGGGAAGAACAUAUGUGUAAGUAACUGUGCACAUCUUGACGGUACCUAAUCAGAAAGCCACGGCUAACUACGUG
rnacentral:rRNA from 1 species